GAUGAACGCUGGCGGCGUGCCUAAUACAUGCAAGUCGAGCGAACGGACGAGAAGCUUGCUUCUCUGAUGUUAGCGGCGGACGGGUGAGUAACACGUGGAUAACCUACCUAUAAGACUGGGAUAACUUCGGGAAACCGGAGCUAAUACCGGAUAAUAUUUUGAACCGCAUGGUUCAAAAGUGAAAAACGUUCUUGCUGUCACUUAUAGAUGGAUCCGCGCUGCAUUAGCUAGUUGGUAAGGUAACGGCUUACCAAGGCAACGAUGCAUAGCCGACCUGAGAGGGUGAUCGGCCACACUGGAACUGAGACACGGUCCAGACUCCUACGGGAGGCAGCAGUAGGGAAUCUUCCGCAAUGGGCGAAAGCCUGACGGAGCAACGCCGCGUGAGUGAUGAAGGUCUUCGGAUCGUAAAACUCUGUUAUUAGGGAAGAACAUAUGUGUAAGUAACUGUGCACAUCUUGACGGUACCUAAUCAGAAAGCCACGGCUAACUACGUG
rnacentral:rRNA from 1 species